AUUAUAGCAGCAGGACAAUCAAUGAAAUCAUUUCUUCUCAUUCAAGUUUUCUAGAAUUUUCUCUUCAAUUGUUUCUUUUCAAUUCCGUGAGAGAGUCUCCUAGGGGAGUAGGAUUAUGAUCAUUUGAUCGACUCACGCUUGUCAUAGUAUUGGUUGGAAUAUUUGGUGAUUUGGGUGGGAUUGAGGUGGUUUGGCUAGUGGAAAUAGGUGGUAUAGUCAUCUACUUUCUAGAGAGAGAAAGUUGGGGUUUAUCUUGCUAGCUUUGUCUGUUACUUUCUUUAUUCGAGGUAAACACAUUCAUUUCUUCAACCGUCUACUCAUAGUUCUAAUAAUUUAUACAGCAAAAUGAUGAAUAAAUAAACCGGAAUAGAACCGUGAUAAUCGUGAUAAUUAAUAAUUAAUUUAAGAGAUUAUUAAAACCUAAUGAGAAGUAAAUAAUGUACUACAUUUCUUUCGUCGAAGCCCAAAACUAGGCUUCGAGAUCCUCAAUUCUCCAUCAAAUUGUUUUAUUUGAUCUUUGGUCAAAAUGGCAUUUCAACAAUAUUAAUAUUAUUUUAUUUAAUUGCCAGCAGCGAAGAAAAGAAUGCCAAUAAUCCUCGUUGGAGAAAAAUCAUAAAUAAGAAAAGUUAUAUCUUUGACUAAAUGCUUAGUCCUUUUGAAUAAGUUAAAUACCUACUUUAUAUACUAUUUAGAUUUUUCUUUGUUUUGUUCAAACACAAGUCUUUAUAGAAGUAUUAAAUUUACAAGUACAACUGCAAUUUAAUAAGACGAAAAGAAAUGCGAUUUAAUAAGAUCACGCCUUUUUUUCUAUUUAAAAAGGUAAAAUAAUUUAUAAUAAAAAAAGAUAUACUUCUAUACAUUGUUAGAACACAGAAAUGUCAAAUUCUGACAUAUUCUAGAAUCAAAAUAACAUAAAAUAACAAUAUAAAAAAAUUAUUAACAUAAGGUAAUGUUCUUGUCGUCAUAAUAUGGGAUUAAUCAUAAUCUGACGUUUUAAUUUCACUACCGACUUUAAUAGCCAAAUUUGCAAAAAAAAGUUUUUUUUUAAAAGAAGAGGUUGAGUUUUUUUUAUUAAACUAACGCUGGAAAAAAAAAAAUCAAGUUCUUGUACAAAUGCAAAUUAUUUAAUUUUUCUUCAACACCUAAACAUCCUACCCAUUUCCCUUAAACGUUGAUCAGACCAAAUCUUCCCGCGUGGGUCCCACAUUUUUCAUCCAUCUCCUCCUCCAAUUUUCCGCUGAUUUCUUCAAAACUUUUCUUCGUCUUCUGCCUCUUCUUCCCUAAGCAAGAAAAAUGGGAAUUUCUUUGAGUAAAAGGCAACAAAAUCAUCACCUCCACCACCCUCCUCCGCCACUACCGCCACCGUCUUCUUCCAUUCCUCCGCCCCUCCCUCCUAUUACACCACCUCCCCACCCAAGCUACUCCUUUCCUCCAACUACAACACCACCACCUCCCCCCUCGCAAAACCCCUAUCCUUUACUCCCCCCGCCUCCACGCCAUAACGUAGUCCCGACUUACCCUCCACCACCACCUCCUUCAAAUUCUUAUAAUUACCAUUUCAGUUUCAAUCAUCAGUCCAGUUAUGGUAGUAGUAGUAGUAGUAGGCCUGUAGUCUUUCAAAAUCAUUACCCUCCUUAUUAUCAUCCUCACGGUAAUAACGGAUGGGGGGGUGGGUUUAGACCUCCGCCAGCGCCGUUGCCGGUGGUGCCGUAUGUGGAUCACCAAAAUGCAAAGAAGAUUAAGAAUGAUGUUAAUGUUCAUAAGGAUACUAUACGGAUUCAACUCGAUGAGCUCAAUAAGGAUUGCCAUUUGGUUACCUUUACUUUUGAUGCCCUUGUUGAUGGAAGUAUCACCAUUUUCUACUUUGCGAAGGAAGGGGCCAACUGCAAAUUCAGUCCUGUAUAUCCUGAAAUCAAGCCUGUUCAAAUACCAUUUGAAAAAGGACUGGGCCAAAAGUUUUGCCAGCCUUCAGGAACUGGAAUUGACCUCGGGUUUUUUGACGUCAAUGACUUAUCAAAGCCAACCCAAGGAGAAGAAAUAUUCCCGCUUAUUAUAUCAGCGGAGUCAUGUUUUCCGUCUACACCAACAGAUGAGAAGUUUGAUGAGCAAUCACUAGAUAAGUCUCCCCAUGCACAAAUAACUGAAGCUGUGCUAGUGAAGAAUAAUGAGGAUCAUUUUCAAGUGAAAGUGAUCAAGCAGAUUUUAUGGAUUGAAGGAGUUCGCUAUGAGUUGCGAGAGAUUUAUGGUAUCAGCAAUUCAGAUGAAACUACCGUCAAUGAUGACGAGUCAGGAAAAGAAUGCGUGAUUUGUAUGACUGAGCCAAAAGACACAGCAGUUUUGCCAUGUAGGCAUAUGACUUGGUUCUCCCAGUAACAUACCGGAGUUCAGUCUUUAUUGGAGGUUGACAUUGGGGAAUAUAAUGAACUCCAGAGCUGGAGUUGGGGAUAAGGCCCUCGAAUUUCAAGAGGGGUCAAAUGACUACCAAAUGCUUUUGAUCAAUUUUAACAGUGUUUGUGCAGUGAGUGCGCCAAAGCACUGAGGCAUCAAUCAAAUAAGUGCCCUAUAUGCCGCCAACCCAUUGAGGAACUUCUGGAG